rnacentral:misc_RNA from 1 species
UUGGAUGAGAAAAGAAAUAGAUUGAAUGAGAAGAGUAAAAGAAGAGAAUAUUCAAAGAUGAGAGAAAAUUAUUCUUGUUUAUUUAUUCUUGAAACACCCUAUUCUAAUACAAAUAUACUCUAUUUAUACACUCCUGAAUACUGUAACUACUUUGACUUUCUCCUAAAAAGCUAUAGCAUCUUUACAACUACUCAACUAUCACAUGCCACCCUCACUAUUUUACUCCUUCUACAUACAAUUACAAACCUUACUCUCCUUACUAGUAUUCAUUACACUAACCUUCAAAGCUCACCUAUAACCUUUGCUUGAAAUUCAGUCAUCUAUCUUUUACAAGCCAGAAAGGAUCUUUAACUUACAUUGCUUUAAUAUCAAAGCUCAAACUAAAGA